UGGGGUGGGGUGGGGUGGGGUGGGGUGGGGGCGGGCCCGAGGGAGCGCACCUCGGGGAGACACCCUCCUCUCCUGCCGGCCUGCGGGACACGGCCCUCCCCCACCUCCCCUGCUCGGCCGUCGCAGGUGUGGGCGCCUCCGGGCCCUGGCUAGCCCGUUCAGCUUGCAGCUCCUGCAACCGCCAGAGUUACCCGUCUGUUCUGAUGCCACCGCGAGAUGGUCCCCAAGCUCCCAGAGAGUCCCCGUUGAAAGGAUUCCGCAGCGCUGCCUCUAUUAUUAUACCGUAAAUCUUUUUAAAUUCUGGAACUAAUUAUAUAGAGGAUAUGUCUCAAUUUGUUCUGCAUUAAUGCCACAGUGGGGAUGGAGGCCGGGCCGUGGCCAGAGCAGAUACGUAGGCCCAUGAAAUUGAUGAGCUGAGAGUUGCUCCCAGUCCUAAGCGCACCAUCUGGAAUUCCAGUCUGAGGUUACAAUUAGAACUCCUGACCCCAGAUUCAACUUUGCAAACAACAGGGGAAAAAAUGGGAAAAAGAAAAAAAAAAAACCGAGACGGAAGAAAAAAAAAACAACAACCCAACAAUCCCAACUUAUAUUCUGCACCUCUAAAAAAAAAAAAAAAAAAAAAAAAAAAAAAAUUCCCCACACUAUCUUAAAAUCUUUCCAUCUUAGACGAUUCUUUCCAAGUAUUCUUUUGAGUUUUCUUUAACCUAUAAAAGAUAAUGGAAUAUCUUUUAUAGAUUGGAUUUUAUCUUAUCCCUUUCCCUCUCCCGAUUGCACUCAGUUUAAUAGUUGUCAGUUUUUUCUCACAGUGUUUUUUUGUUACGUGUUGGAUUUAAUUAUAUGGAACCAAAAUAUUCCUCAGGAAAUUAGCUUGCUAAAUAUUCUGUCAUUUUGUGAUUCUGCUUUUGAGAAACAGCUUAAUUACAGAAAUCUAUCUGGAUCUAGGAACUUUUUUUUUUUUUUUUAGUGUUGCUUCAGCUUAACUGUAAUCAGAGAUUUUAUUUGUGUUGUAAUUUUAUUUGUGUUCUAAAUCGGUUAGGCCAAUUUCUUCCUUCUUUCUUUAGUAACACACUGCUUUAUUUUCCUCUCACUUUGACCCUCUGAAGAAAACGAAGGACCAGGCAGUACUGGGGAAUCUGUUAAAUUUAUUAGCAUAAAUGCUUAGACAAAACGAGAUAUAAAUCAUUCAGAUGUAUUAAGCCAUAAAGUAUCCCAAUGAAGUCAGUGCCUCGCAAGGGUCCUGGUGUAUAAAUGUUCAUAUAAAACAAGGUAUCGGUAUUAUCUUUCAAACUGAAUAUACGUUGUAAAAAUAU
rnacentral:lncRNA from 1 species